UGGGGAAUAUUGCACAAUGGGCGCAAGUCUGAUGCAGCAACGCCGCGUGAACGAUGAAGGUCUUCGGAUCGUAAAGUUCUGUUGCAGGGGAAGAUAAUGACGGUACCCUGUGAGGAAGCCCCGGCUAACUACGUGCCAGCAGCCGCGGUAAUACGUAGGGGGCUAGCGUUAUCCGGAUUUACUGGGCGUAAAGGGUGCGUAGGUGGUCUUUCAAGUCGGUGGUUAAAGGCUACGGCUCAACCGUAGUUAGCCUCCGAAACUGGAAGACUUGAGUGCAGGAGAGGAAAGUGGAAUUCCCAGUGUAGCGAUGAAAUGCGUAGAUAUUGGGAGGAACACCAGUAGCGAAGGCGGCUUUCUGGACUGCAACUGACACUGAGGCACGAAAGCGUGGGUAGCAAACAGG
rnacentral:rRNA from 1 species